AUCACAGCGGUUUUGCCAAUAACGGGAGUUAUAAAGUGAUUCUGAAAACCCACUGAUCGAUGCUCGUGAUUAGCUAGUAAACGAGACACGUAUUACACCUCUAUAGCUAACUUGUUUAAGAUCUUGAGUUUACUAGCUAACAUUAUUAGUUAGACGAUUUGCGGACGAGUACAGUAGAUUAUAGCUAGUUACACAACCGGCUUGCCCAGAUAUCAAUAUUCAUUCAGUCACUGAAAAACAAAGAUGUCACAGACGCGUCGUUUCCAGUCUUGGACAGAGUUGAAACAAGCAGGCAACGAAUUCUUUAAAAAUGGACAGUAUGGGGAGGCUGCUUCUAUUUACAGCCAGGCUAUCAAAGAAGUGGAGAAGUCAGGCAAGCGAUGCACCAAGUCUGGAACCAACAGGACUCUGAACAGCUUCUACCCCCAAGCCAUAAGACUGCUAAAUAGUUAGUUCGGGUAGCUAUUUGGUUAACUAUUUAACUAACUGCAUUGAUCCUUUUUGCACUGACUUUUUUGUCUCAUCACAUACGCUGCUGCUUCUGUUCAUUAUCCGUCACUUUAUUCCUAGUUAUAUUUGCAUAUCUACCUCAAUUACCUAAUACCCUUGCAUGUAUGUAUGUAUGUGUAUAUAUACAAGUUAUUUUAUUAAUUAAUUAUUUAUUACUUUUAUUAUUACAUGAGACUUUUCUAUUAUUUCUCUCUGCAUUGUUGGGAAGCAUUUUACUAUUAGUCUACUCCUGUUGUUUACUAAGCAUGUGACAAAUAACAUUUGAUUUGAAAUUAAGCAUUACGGAAUACAUAAUUUAAGCCCAAUGUCACGCCCUGGUCUAUAUUUAUUAUGUUUAUCUUCAUUUAUUGGGUCAGGCCAGGGUGUGACAUGGGUUUAUUUGUGGUGUUUUUCGUCUUGGGGUUGUGUGGGGUGUAUAGCAUAGUCUAUGGCUGCCUGAGGCGGUUCUCAAUCAGAGUCAGGUGAUUAUCGUUGUCUCUGAUUGGGAACCAUAUUUAGGUAGCCAUAUUCUGUGAGUGUUUUCGUGGGUGAUUGUUCCUGUCUCUGUGUCUUCACCAGAUAGGACGGUUUAGGUUUUCACGUUCCGUUUGUUGUUUUUGUAUUGUUCGUGUUUUUUCGUUAUUCAUUAAACAUGUCUCAAAAAUA